rnacentral:rRNA from 1 species
GGAAUAUUGGACAAUGGGGGCAACCCUGAUCCAGCCAUGCCGCGUGUGUGAAGAAGGUCUUCGGAUUGUAAAGCACUUUAAGUUGGGAGGACGGGCAGUAAGUUAAUACCUUGCUGGUUUGACGUUACCGACAGAAUAAGCACCGGCUAACUCUGUGCCCGCAGCCGCGGUAAUACAGAGGGUGCAAGCGUUAAUCGGAAUUACUGGGCGUAAAGCGCGCGUAGGUGGUUUGUUAAGUUGUAUGUGAAAGCCCCGGGCUCAACCUGGGAACUGCAUCCAAAACUGGCAAGCUAGAGUACGGUAGAGGGUGGUGGAAUUUCCUGUGUAGCGGUGAAAUGCGUAGAUAUAGGAAGGAACACCAGUGGCGAAGGCGACCACCGGGACUGAUACUGACACUGAGGUGCGAAAGCGUGGGGAGCAA